GGCAAUAAAGGGAUGGCAGCAGGCGCGCAAUUACCCAAUGCAGACACGUGUGAGGUAGUGACGAGAAAUAAUAAAGUAAUACUAUUGUAUCGCUAUUAUAAUGAGGAAUAACUAAAUGUUAUUCCUAUUAGCAACUGAUGGGAAAGUCUGGUGCCAGCAGCCGCGGUAACACCAGCUUCAGUAGCAUAUAUUAAAAUUGUUGCAGUUAAAACGUCCGUAGUCUGUACACUGUCUUAGACCUUACUACUGCGCUAUCUGUUUUUCGGAAUGGUUAGUUGCUUGUAGUUACUCCCUUGAUCAAAAUAGAUUGUUCAAGGUAGACCGAGUCGAUAUAAUUUCACAUGGAAUUGGGUGAAGGAACUUAAGAGUUUAAGUUUCUCGUCUUAGGAUCAUCUGGGGUCAUUCGUACUCGUCCGCGAGAGGUGAAAUUCUUGGACCGGACGAAGACGAUCAGCAGCGAAAGCAUCUGUCAGGGAUGUUUUCUGCGACAAAGGACGAAGGCCAGGGUAUCGAAGACGAUUAGAUACCGUCGUAGUCCUGGCUGUAAACUAUGCCGACUUGGAACUUGCUAAAUAAAUAUUUUGUGAGAUCCAACCAGAAAUGAAAGUGUAUGGGUUCUGGGGGUAGUAUGGACACAAGUCUGAAACUUGAAGGAAUUGACGGAAGAGCACCAUAAGACGUGGAGCUUGCGGCUUAAUUUGACUCAACGCGGGAAAACUUACCAGGUCAAGACGUGGGCGUGAUUGUCAGGCUAACGACCUUACUCGAUUCCUCUGAUGGUGGUGCAUGGUCGCACUUAGUUGGUGCAGUGAUUUGUCAGGUUUAUUCCGGUAACGAACGAGACCUCGGCCUAGUAACUAGUUUAUCUUCUUACUGGGACAAUGUCGGCUACGUCAAGGAAGUUCGAGGCAAUUGCAGAUCUGGAAUGCCCUUAGAUGUCCUGGGUCGCACGCGUGCUACAAUGACGCCACAAGCAAGCUUAUGUGAUGAAAGUCACAUAUAAUCAUCAAUAGUCGUCUCCAGGGACAGUCUCUUGUAACUGUGGGACUCCAACUAGGAAUGUCUCGUAAGCACAAGUCAACAUCUUGUGUUGAUUACGUCCCUGCUCUUUGUACACACCGCCCGUCGCUCCUACCGAUCGAGUGAUUAGAUAAGUUUCACAGACUUUGGAAGUGAUACAAAUCGACCACCCUUA
rnacentral:rRNA from 1 species